ACAGACUUUUAUUGAAAAAGACUACAGCAAAUCAUACUGAGGUGAAUGAAGACAGUGAAAUGAAGGAGAAGGCAGGUCCUCUUUAUGUUUUCGCAGCUGGUUCAAGGGGUUUGGGGUUUUCUAUCUAGGUUAAAGAUUGCGUAAUACACAGCUGGAGCCAUAGACAUUAAUGCAUGUUUAUCACACGCAACAACGAUGCUGCAUCAUGUGAUUACAGCUGGGCCUGUGCUGCUUCUACACCUCCCUCGCCCUGACACUUCCACCAGGUUGCUCCUCACCUCCGUCUCUGCUUUUAUCCUCUUACUGCUCCUUUCAGGACCAGCAGAAAUGUCAGCUUCCCAGGAAUCCUUCCCUGGAUCUCUGCAGCAAGAAAUAGCUUCUCUGAUCACUGUAGCACUUGGUUCUUUAAUAUCUUUAUCUUGCUCUACCUUGUUAUAUUUUUCUUGUGAACUUAAAAUUCCCUGUGAGGACGUAAACCUUUGAAGGUAUGUCUCAUAUCUCUGAACCUCUUUAAAAUGCCUAGCAUCCCUGUGUGGGUGCCAAUUGCUUGUGUAUUGAAUUAAAUUGUGAUUGUUAACUUAACAUCACAGGCAUGUAACUUAUUAAGAAUCUAAGAAAGCCACUAGGUUUCCAGUUAUAUGGAGAGAAACGGGUAACAAGAGAAUACAAGAAUAUUAAGCUUCAUCAGAUUCCAUGUUCUGAAGGUCAAGGUGGAAAGAAAACCCUAACACCUCUUCGUAUUUAGAAAACAACUAUGUUUUUUAGGCAUAAAACAAAUGCAAUUUCUGAAUUAUUUUGGAGUUAACUGGGUAUGAUCAUGAAGAAUAAUUUACAAAUUUUAUUUCAGUGGCAGUGAAAGAUCUUUCCGUCUGAGCUAAAAUAUCUUGCCUUUUUUAGAGGUUUAUCUUACUUUGAAUCAGAACCUACUCUUCCAGUCACUAAGAAAAGAGAACUGUGAGAAUCUCCUAAGUGUACUUACAUCCUGUGAUCACCUGUGCUGACCACCCCUUCUGUUGAUUAUCCAUCAUGUGGCCUAGGCCCUGAAGUCUCUUCUUUUCUCUUACAAGAAUGCAGACUCUGGAUCCCAAAGGCCCUGUCUGAAUUCUUGCUGUGACAUUUAUUAGCUCCGUCACCUCGACAGAUGAUUUGGCAGCAAAAAGCCCUAGAUUCCCACGUGGCACCCAGAGCUGGAGUUGCGCUCAGAGAACAUAAGCUCCCUGAAGACAGUACUUUGCUUUUCUCACCCUGUGGCCCCAGCACUUGGCACAGUCCAAGGCAAGGAGAAGGGUUAAAUGCAUGGUUGAAUGAACGAGAAGAGAGGACACAGAGACUCAGGGAGAAGGCGAGCUGAAGGCAGCUGCAGUGACUGGAGUGAUACAGCUACAAGCCAAAGGAUGCCGAUAAUUGCCCCUGGAAACUAAGAGAGACCCUCAGGUCCUCCAAAAGGAACCAACCCUGUCAACACCUCACUUUCAAACUUCCAGACUCCACAAUGAUGAGAAUAAAUUUCUGUUGUUGUAAACCAUCACGUUUGUGGUAACUUGUUAUGGCAGCCCCUGGUUCACAUCCUGAAGAAGUUCCCCAGAGAUCUUUGCUUCUGCUGUCCAUGGCGGGUGGGGGGUGGAAUUUAGUUUCAUUCAGAAUCCUAAAGCUUUACUGAUCUUCCGUGCCUCAGAAGCUCCCUAUUUCUGAUUCAGCCUUUCAGCUAUGAGGUCCCACAUAGCUUUACUCAGAAACAUUCACACAUCUCAACAAAAGUGAACUCAACUGAGAAUCACAUCUUUUUCAUCUGUUUCUUUGAAAGCCCAGUAGCACCUUUGACAGGAGUGGCAUGUGGUCUAAUGCUUUGGAGCAAUCCAGUUUAAUGCAGCAACAGCAGACCCAAGCUCCUCUCACCAGAUGAACACUAUGGCACAAUUAUUAAUAUGGGGGUAUAGGAAAGAAGGUGCCACUCUGUGUGCAGAAUUCUGUGCCAGCUUCUAGGAGGGUGGGAAGAUAGGUAACAAUCAUGAUAAUCAUUGUUAUGGUCAUUGCUUCUGUUACUGCAUGCCAUGCUGUCUGAAUGACUUGCCAGACUUUUUUUCCACUUAAAUCUCCUAGUCACCCCACCCUUGUUUUAAUGAGGACAAAUCUAAGACUUGGAGAGUUAAGUGCCAAGUUCAAGGUCACCCAAUCAAUAAGUUGAGGGUGGUG
rnacentral:lncRNA from 1 species